CAGAUUCCACUUUUCAUUUACAUGCCAUUAAAUUUUUCUUUGUUAUACGAUAUUACUGACAAACGUUAUGAAACGUAAUGCAUUUACUUGGAAUCAAUUAGUUAGUAUAUAAAGGCUGUAAUAAAUACGACGUACAAAAUGGAAAUUCUUAAAUAAACCAAUACAUACAUGUACAUAUAUAUAUUAUCUUGAAUAGGGCUUACGAUAUAUAGCCUGUAUAUAAGAAAUUGAAUCGACACAAAGUAUUUAAUGUAUACUUGUUAAUUCUAAAUUUAUACUUAAUUUUCUGAAAAUGAAUCCUAUGACAAAACUGGCAAAAGUUAUGGCCACGAAUCUCUAUUAGUCAUUUCUCCAAUCUGGCAAUAUACAUUUGUUUAUACAGGGGUGAUGUACGGUAGGCGUUAAUUCAGCACGUUAAAGUAAAAAAGGAAAUUCAUAUAAACACACACUGAGUAUCAGCUUGUUUUCGAGUUUUGUGUUUAUUCUGUAAUGCGAAAUUACUUAAAUGAACGAUUGAUUUUGUGGCAAACGGAUGAUAGAUCGCGUUGAUAUUAUUCGAUUCAUUCAAUCCAUAAUCAUUCUAUUAGCUACGGUGGAAUUAAAAAGUCUCUUGUUUCUGAUACGUCAAUUAACAGCGUUGAAAAUCUCCAUCAAUCUGGCGACCAAAAUUUCCUAUAAGUCGUAAAAAAAACAAACUCGACGAUCUACGAUGCCUUGUUGGAAAAUUGGGACAAUUUCACUGAACGUAGAAUGCUGAGCCAGCUCUUAUCGUGCUUUUUACGUGCCCGACCCAUUCUGUAUGCAUUAUAGUUACCUGUAUGCAACGACUGAACGCCAAGACAGUGUGUUUGCUGGCACAAUAAAUAGGUAUUUCAGAGAAGAUUUUCAGAGCCACGAUCGAUGCGAUGUUUACUAUGGUGCCUCCUUUGCCACCUUUGUGUUUGCCCAUAUAAUCCAAAGCGAGCAAAGAUCCUUGGAUUACGCCGUUCUCAAAUUGAAACAAUUAAUGCAAUUACUAAUCAAAAUCAAUACCAAUUAAUAUUAUGAAAAAUUAGUAAUUAGAAAUUAAUGUCAUUACCAAUGAUGCUACAGUGGUGUUAUGUUAGUUUCUAAACUGAGUUUCCAGAAAGACGAACUCAUCAAAUGCGUGUUAACUUCGUUGCUACAUUACAUAAGUAUAUGAUUAAUAUUCUAUCGUGAGAAUGAUAUAAAAAAUGGAGACAAUUUGUGUAGAACACAAAUGCGCCUUCUGAAUGACACAAUUAUUAGCGUAAUUAUUACUAUGAGCUAGUAUAAGCUACAUUAGUAGCAACAGCAACAAGCUAAAUUAUUACUAUAAGCUACAAA
rnacentral:lncRNA from 1 species